rnacentral:rRNA from 1 species
ACCUACAACCACACCUCACAGUGUUCCAAUCUGAAGCUAAGCAGGGUCUGCUCUGAUCAGUAUUUGGAUGGGAGCCCACCAAGGAAAACCCAGAUGCUGCAGGAA